CCUACGGGAGGCAGCAGUGGGGAAUAUUGCACAAUGGGGGAAACCCUGAUGCAGCAACGCCGCGUGAGCGAUGAAGGCCUUCGGGUCGUAAAGCUCUGUCCUAAGGGAAGAAUCCAGACGGUACCUUAGGAGGAAGCCCCGGCUAACUACGUGCCAGCAGCCGCGGUAGUACGUAGGGGGCUAGCGUUAUCCGGAAUUACUGGGCGUAAAGGGUGCGUAGGCGGCCCGUCAAGUCAGAGGUGAAAGGCUACGGCUCAACCGUAGUAAGCCUUUGAAACUGAAGGGCUUGAGUGCAGGAGAGGGUAUGAGAAUUACAAGAGUAGCUGUGAAAUACGUAGAUAUUGGGAGUAACACCAGUUGCGAGAGCGGCUCUCUGGACUGUUACUGACGCUGAGGUACGAAAGCGUGGGGAGCAACCAGUAUUAGAUACCCUAGUAGUC
rnacentral:rRNA from 1 species